AGCAUACAAAUUUGGCUUGUGUAUUCAUUUGCCUAUAACUAAUCAUAAUUCCAUUAUUUUUACAUAAAAAAGAGAAUACUUCAAAAUGAGAAGAGCCUGCCAUGGAAAAGACAACUGGGUGGACAGAAAGUGUAAAGGAGGGGAAAUAACUCCCACCAUGCAGCAGGACACUUUCAGCUGUGGGGUCUUUAUAAUAUGGCCAAGGAAGUUGCACAGAACUUCCCCAACAUCCCCUCCCAAAUUCACAUGGAACCUUCAAAAACACAUGGAGCAACUGCGAAAAGAAAUGGCUGAGGAUAUACUAAACAUGUCAGGUAAUGACAUUUAAUUCAAAGUAAAUGUAAAUUCUUUAUUUUGAUGUAGAUGUGUGGGACAGCCAUAUGUUCAGUUCAUGCCUAUGAUUUCAGAGUUCAACAAAGCCAACAACUCCUUCAUGUGUGCCACUGAUAAAGAACCUGGAUAUGGCCCAAAGACUGACUGGGUUAGUAACUUUAUUUAACAUGCUUAAAAUCUUUUGACAACAGUGACAGCAUGUAAGGCAAUUUAUGAUAUAACACAAUGGAUGGCUAAUUCGUCAUACUGCAUUGAUAUUAUUUAUAACGUGUUACACUUUGUUUUGCAUGCCAACUGAAGUUCCAUGUGCUGUAACUAGGAAUGAAGACAAAACAGUUCAACAGAGUAAAGAACACAAACUGGAAGUACAGUCUUUGUUGUUGAAAAUGUAUGCUAUACCCCAUCCACACUGAAGAGGCUCUGAAAUGUACAUCAACCAGGGUUAAUGUAUGCUAUACCCCAUCCACACUGAAGAGGCUUGAAAUGUACAUCAACCAGGGUUAAUGUAUGACUAUACCCCAUCCACACUGAAGAGGCUCUGAAAUGUACAUCAACCAGGGUUAAUGUAUGCUAUACCCCAUCCACACUGAAGAGGCUCUGACAUGUACAUCAACCAGGGUUAAUGUAUACUAUACCCCAUCCACACUGAAGAGGCUCUGACAUGUAUAUCAACCAGGGUUAAUGUAUACUAUACCCCAUCCACACUGAAGAGGCUCUGAAAUGUACGUCAACCAGGGUUAAUGUAUACUAUACCCCAUCCACACUGAAGAGGCUCUGACAUGUACAUCAACCAGGGUUAAUGUAUGCUAUACCCCAUCCACACUGAAGAGGCUCUGAAAUGUACAUCAACCAGGGAUAAAGAGAAAGUUAACACUGUGAAAUGUUUCAUACUUAUUU
rnacentral:lncRNA from 1 species